AGUGAACGCUGGCGGUAGGCCUAACACAUGCAAGUCGAACGGCAGCACAGUAAGAGCUUGCUCUUACGGGUGGCGAGUGGCGGACGGGUGAGGAAUACAUCGGAAUCUACUUUUUCGUGGGGGAUAACGUAGGGAAACUUACGCUAAUACCGCAUACGACCUACGGGUGAAAGCAGGGGAUCUUCGGACCUUGCGCGAUUGAAUGAGCCGAUGUCGGAUUAGCUAGUUGGCGGGGUAAAGGCCCACCAAGGCGACGAUCCGUAGCUGGUCUGAGAGGAUGAUCAGCCACACUGGAACUGAGACACGGUCCAGACUCCUACGGGGGGCAGCGGGGGGGAAUUUUGGAAAAUGGGCGCAAGCCUGACCCCGCCAUCCCGCGGGGGUGAAGAAGGCCUUCGGGUUGUAAAGCCCUUUUGUUGGGAAAAAAAAGCAGCAGGUUAAUCCCCCGUUUUUCUGACGGUCCCAAAAAAAAAAGCCCCGGCUAACUUCGU
rnacentral:rRNA from 1 species